rnacentral:rRNA from 1 species
UACGAAGGGGGCAAGCGUUAAUCGGAAUUACUGGGCGUAAAGGGUGCGUAGGCGGUUCGUUAAGUCUGUUGUGAAAUCCCCGGGCUCAACCUGGGAAUGGCAAUGGAUACUGGCGGGCUAGAGUGUGUCAGAGGAUGGUGGAAUUCCCGGUGUAGCGGUGAAAUGCGUAGAGAUCGGGAGGAACAUCAGUGGCGAAGGCGGCCAUCUGGGACAACACUGACGCUGAAGCACGAAAGCGUGGGGAGCAAACAGG